UACGUAGGGUGCAAGCGUUGUCCGGAAUACUGGGCGUAAAGCGUGCGCAGGCGGCUAUGCAAGACAGAUGUGAAAUCCCCGGGCUCAACCUGGGAACUGCAUUUGUGACUGCAUGGCUAGAGUACGGUAGAGGGGGAUGGAAUUCCGCGUGUAGCAGUGAAAUGCGUAGAUAUGCGGAGGAACACCGAUGGCGAAGGCAAUCCCCUGGACCUGUACUGACGCUCAUGCACGAAAGCGUGGGGAGCAAACAGG
rnacentral:rRNA from 1 species